ACAGGGCGCCGUGGCGCGCAGGGGCGGUGGAGUCGCGUGGAGUGUGCGUGACAGCUGCAGCACUAUGCUCCUCUAGAGAAGUGUCGGUGCGACCGAUGUGAUGCUUACAAAAACGCUGCAAAUGAAGACAAGGCAAAGCCUCAAAAUCAUUUCAAGAACACCAGGAAGAAAAAGAAUUGAGUCACAUAGAAAAAUAAUAGGAUAAAGAGUUGGCACAAAAUAAGAAGAUACAACUAGCUGUUUAUGAUUUACAAGUUGUCUUACCAGUACCAACGGGACAAACAUCAGCGUUUUUCUACAAGUCGAGGCUCAACUGUUACAAUUUCACAGUCACUGAGAUUGGAAACGACAAAACUACCUGUUUUCUGGUUUUUUUCACGAGGGAGUUGAAAACAAAGGCGUGGUACAAACAGCAACUUGUGUCUUACAAUAUCUUGAAGAGUUAUCCAAGAACCUUCCUGGGACGGAUGUCGUAUUUUACUCCGACAAUUGUGGACGGCGACCGUAGAAUAAAUACAUGAUUCGAAUAUAUUUCUAUGCAGUACUAAGGCUGGAUGUUCGGUCCAUUCCGCACAAGUAUUUGAUUCGUGGUCGCACCCAGAACGAGGAAGAGGCAGUUCACAGCAUCAUUGAGAAAGCAGUUAAGAGUGCUAAGAAGUCAGGGCCAAUUUAUGUACCAGAUUACUACAUGUCAGUCAUCCGAAUUGCAAAAAAAAGAAGGGAAAGCGGCUACAUCUUAUAGAAAUGGGAUAUUCAGAUUUCAAUGACAUUAAAGCUUAGUAUGAUGAGAUGGCUCCUAACAUGGCCAAGGACACUGACGGGAUUAUUUUCAAUGUGGCCGAAAUUAAAUUAUUUCGAUGUGAAAAAUGAAGUGAUGUUUCACUGUAAGAACAGCUAAAAACAGUCUGAAUGGGUACAAGUUUAGUUCAAAGGGAGAAAGAGGCGUUUAACAGGGAAUGUAGAUGGAAGUAAUUUGGAUCUGAAACCUGUUUAUACUACAAAAAUGACCCUCUCAGGAAACAAAACUCAAGAUUAAAAAAAUCUGACUAACAACAUCAUUCCUAAAUAUUACAAGGCCUUCUAUGAUUGUCUUUCCACAUAAAUGCAAUUUGUUGCUUUUAUGUAAUUUGAAAUUUCUUUAUUUCACUUAGUAUGU